AUGGUUGAACUCAACGAGGAGUGUAUUGCUCACUUAAAGUUCCUCUUGUUAUGCUUUGAAGCUUUGACCGGGCUCAAGAUCAACUUUGCCAAAAGUGAAGUUAUUAUCACAGGGGUGUCGGAUGCCGAGGCUCUUAGGGUCUCCCAACUCUUAAACUGUUCUCUUGGCUCUUUCCCUUUCAAUUAUCUUGGUCUCCCUAUUUCCUCCGACAAAUUGUUGGCGAGAGAUUUUGCCCCGGUUGUCACGAAGGUGGGUAAUCGGGUUAUGCCUUGGAGGGGCAGGUACAACACUCAAGCGGGCAAGGUUGCCCUUAUCAACGCUUGCCUCUCCUCCCUCCCCAUGUUCCUGAUGGGUUUCUAUCUACUCUCUAGAGGGACUCACACGAGUUUUGACAAGCAUAGGGGUGCCUUCUAUUGGAAUUUGGCUGAUAACAAGCGCAAGUAUGGGAGGGUGAAGUGGAAACUUAUUUGUAGACCCAAGAGCCUUGGGGGGCUGGGCAUCAUUGAUACAUCGAUUAUGAACAAGUGCCUUAUCAUCAAGUGGUGGUGGAAAAUAAUGAACACCUCGAAGUACCCCUUGUGGCUUAGUAUUCUCAAAGCUAAAUAUUUCCCUGUGUCUAGCCCAUGUCUGCUCCUUCGGCGGGUGUUUCUCAAUUUUGGAAAGAUCUCGUCAAAGUGCGCCCGAUGUUUCAAUCCUUGGUUAAAUUUGUGGUCCGUAAUGGCAAAUCUAUCCGAUUUUGGUUGGACUGGUGGUAUGGGGAGUCUACUCUUGCGGUGA
rnacentral:rRNA from 1 species